rnacentral:rRNA from 1 species
UUAAGCGACUAAGCGUACACGGUGGAUGCCCUGGCAGUCAGAGGCGAUGAAGGACGUGCUAAUCUGCGAUAAGCGUCGGUAAGGUGAUAUGAACCGUUAUAACCGGCGAUUUCCGAAUGGGGAAACCCAGUGUGUUUCGUCACACUAUCAUUAACUGAAUCCAUAGGUUAAUGAGGCGAACCGGGGGAACUGAAACAUCUAAGUACCCCGAGGAAAAGAAAUCAACCGAGAUUCCCCCAGUAGCGGCGAGCGAACGGGGAGCAGCCCAGAGCCUGAAUCAGUGUGUGUGUUAGUGGAAGCGUCUGGAAAGGCGCGCGAUACAGGGUGACAGCCCCGUACACAAAAAUGCACAUGCUGUGAGCUCGAUGAGUAGGGCGGGACACGUGGUAUCCUGUCUGAAUAUGGGGGGACCAUCCUCCAAGGCUAAAUACUCCUGACUGACCGAUAGUGAACCAGUACCGUGAGGGAAAGGCGAAAAGAACCCCGGCGAGGGGAGUGAAAAAGAACCUGAAACCGUGUACGUACAAGC